rnacentral:rRNA from 1 species
UACAGAGGGUGCGAGCGUUGUCCGGAAUCACUGGGCGUAAAGGGCGCGUAGGCGGCGCGGUAAGUCGGGUGUGAAAUCUCGGAGCUUAACUCCGAAACUGCAUUCGAUACUGCCGUGCUUGAGGACUGGAGAGGAGACUGGAAUUUACGGUGUAGCGGUGAAAUGCGUAGAUAUCGUAAGGAAGACCAGUGGCGAAGGCGGGUCUCUGGACAGUUCCUGACGCUGAGGCACGAAGGCCAGGGGAGCAAACGGG